rnacentral:rRNA from 1 species
UACGGGGGGGGGCAAGCGUUGUUCGGAAUUACUGGGCGUAAAGGGUGCGUAGGCGGUUUGGUAAGUCUUAUGUGAAAUCUACAGGCUCAACUUGUAGUCUGCAUGAGAAACUGCCGGGCUUGAGUAUGGGAGAGGUGAGUGGAAUUCCUGGUGUAGCGGUGAAAUGCGUAGAUAUCAGGAGGAACACCUGUGGCGAAAGCGGCUCACUGGACCAUAACUGACGCUGAUGCACGAAAGCUAGGGAGCAAACAGG